rnacentral:rRNA from 1 species
UACAGAGGGGGCAAGCGUUGUUCGGAAUUACUGGGCGUAAAGGGCGCGUAGGUGGCCUUCUAAGUCAUGCGUGAAAUCCCCGGGCUCAACCCGGGAACUGCGUCUGAUACUGGAAGGCUUGAAUCCGGGAGAGGGAUGCGGAAUUCCAGGUGUAGCGGUGAAAUGCGUAGAUAUCUGGAGGAACACCGGUGGCGAAGGCGGCAUCCUGGACCAACACUGACGCUGAGGAGCGAAAGCCAGGGGAGCAAACGGG